rnacentral:rRNA from 1 species
AGUGAACGCUGGCGGUAGGCCUAACACAUGCAAGUCGAACGGCAGCACAGUAAGAGCUUGCUCUUACGGGUGGCGAGUGGCGGACGGGUGAGGAAUACAUCGGAAUCUACUUUUUCGUGGGGGAUAACGUAGGGAAACUUACGCUAAUACCGCAUACGACCUACGGGUGAAAGCAGGGGAUCUUCGUACCUUGCGCGAUUGAAUGAGCCGAUGUCGGAUUAGCUAGUUGGCGGGGUAAAGGCCCACCAAGGCGACGAUCCGUAGCUGGUCUGAGAGGAUGAUCAGCCACACUGGAACUGAGACACGGUCCAGACUCCUACGGGAGGCAGCAGUGGGGAAUAUUGGACAAUGGGCGCAAGCCUGAUCCAGCCAGACCGCGUGGGUGAAGAAGGCAUUCGGGUUGUAAAGCACUUUUGUUGGGAAAGAAAAGCAGCAGGUUAAUACCCCGCUGUUCUGACGGUACCCAAAGAAUAAGCACCGGCUAACUUCGUG